rnacentral:lncRNA from 1 species
UUGUGCUCAGUGGAGCAGGUAAAGGUCUCAAACGCAGGACUGUAACGUCCAGCGUGAACGUGUUUUCUGAUGACAAGGAUGAAGCAGCCCACACAGGAGGCAGCAGAGAAAGCCCGUCCACUUCAGUGCUGUCAAAACCAGGUCCUUUCCUUCCUCUGAAAGGUCCCACAGCAGCUGGGAUCCCAAAGGUG